CACAAUUCUGAUGAAGUAUUGCUAUUGGCAAAUGUAUAUAGAACUAUUACACACUGAGACGUGUAAUUGUACUAGGACCGAUUUUUAUCAUCUAUCAUAUAAGGAACAUAUCAUAUUUUAAUCAAAACAUCCCUUGAUUAAAGCUGAAUAUUUACUGCUUUUUCCCAGGUCUGAAAGUUUUGAGGAUUUCCUAGCGCUGUGUUUGAUAAAAUCACCUGAUCAAAGACCGACGGCCAAAAUGCUUCUCGAACACAGCUUUAUAAAGGAACAACCAAUGGCCGAUAGCAUGGAGAAUUGGUUAAUGGAUUAUAUCUACAGUGUGUACUGGAAUGCUGAAGGGUACGGCCCAGAAAAUGCCCAAUAAGAUACACUGAGGAGUAGUGGCAAAUAAGGACUAUAUCGGCUAUUUAAGCUACAGUCAUGGAACAGUGGGCCUACGUUACAUGUUCCUGAAUGGCAAGUCUUCUUAAAGGUCCUCAGGAACUGCAGCCAUAAUGAUUCCAUCUAAUGGACUGCGGCCACAAUGGAGCUGGACCUGGACUUUGGAAUGAAUGUCUGCGCUGGCUGAGAAGAGACUGCCAAUAAGAAAGCAGCCAGCGGGUGGUGGAGGGUUUAAGGAUUCCAACAUCCUUGGGAACUAAGUUCCCAGCCAAGUUUUGUAAAUAUGUCCGUAAAUAAAAUUGUAAUAUACUU